UUUUGAUUGUAUUCUUCAAACCCUCUUUUCUUUUCUGAAAAAGAAAAUUUCUUCUCUCUCGAAACCCUUGCCUUACCGAUCUAUUUCUUUGAGAUUUUGCAGAGAUCAAAGGAAGAAAGCAAGCAUGAAAAUUAAUGAGAAGAAAGAAGAAGAAGAGAGAAGCACAAUCAUGUACGUGUUUCGGCCUAACACAAGGCCUACGGCCACAGAAAGGGGAGAUCUUUUAUUUCUUGAAAAUUUAAACAGAGAUAAGUUUCUUACAAGUAUUUUGAUACAGAAAAAUGUAAAAGUCGUAAUAGAAUGUACAUGUAACUUCUAUUUAUAUGAGUACAUUUCUGUUAUAAAAGGACUAUUAAGAAACUAUUCGUUGGCUUCAAUUUGAGAUUAUUUUCUUUAAAUCAAACACCUUAAUCUCAACUCUGUAAAUCUUCUCCCUUCCAAAUCUAACCUCUGAUUAACCUUUUUCAGGUAGAACGAAGCCGAUAAGGUCAAGACACUUGCUGAGCUUGAGCUUCGGAACCGGCUUGGUAAGCAUGUCUGCAACAUUUUCAGAGGCCCACGAGAAGGAGCAGUCCAGCCCAAAACAAGUUGGUAGGUGAAAUGAAAGGCACACAGAGUGCCACACCUCUCGGCUUGGAAUGCAACAUGUGGAAACUCCACUAAUUCAAAACAAUGGGAGUGAUGAAGCUGCCUAAGACAAUUUUGAUGAGAUCAAAGGAAUAAAGCAAGCAUGAAAAUUAAUGAGAAGAAAGAAGAAGAAGAGAGAAGAACAAUCAUGUACAUGUUUCGGCCUAACACAAGGCCUACGGCCACAGAAAGGGGAGAUCUUUUAUUUCUUAAAGAUUUAAACAGAGAUAAGUUUCUUACAAGUAUUUUGAUACAGAAAAAUGUAAAAGUCAAAAUAGAAUGUACAUGUAACUUCUAUUUAUAAAAGGACUGUUAAGAAACUAGCCAUUAGCUUCAAUUUGAGAUUAUUUUCUUUAGUAUGCAUAGCUAGAUGUAGAAAGAUUUUCCUUUGCUGUGAUUAAUCAGGACAUCCAUAAAGCCAAUGUUCUAGGCACGAGUCCUUGUGAUGAAUGUGUGAAAACCAGUGCCUCUAGACAAAAGAAAUGAAAGUUUACGACCCUUAGAGUUUUUAUUCAAACACCUUAGUUGAUAUAUUACUUUCUUGAUUGUUAGGAUACUUGAGGUUGGCGGCUUGAGUUGGAGUAUGAGGGAAAACGAAUUGAGGGCCAUAUUAAGAUUUUCCAGGUCACAUAUGAAAGCAAGGGAGAAAAAGUUAUGUGUAGGACCCAUCAGGUGGUAGAACGAUCAAUUGUGGCGAAGGAAUAAUCAAACGGAUCAGAGGGGUCCACCGACAACUACAACAACCUAUGUGAAAAGCUAUCUGCUGCAUCUACUAUUGUCUUGAGUGGUAAAAUGGUUCCCAUGCCUAACCCUAUUUUUAUUGGACCUGAAAGAGAGAGCAUUGAUUCAAACAAACAAAGAGAUUUUCAGACUUAAUUCGGUGAGGAACAUUUCAUUCAUUCCCGAGGUGAUCUUCCUCGAGAACACUCGCUCCCAUGAUCACCGCCAGAGAAGAAAAGGUCAAGAGAGUCAUCAUCUCCUCAAGCUCACCGCAUUUGCCUCAUUGCACAACAACACCAUAACUUUAGCUCGACGGGAAGCAAGAGACUAUCGUCGCUGACUGAUUUUCACUCCAUUCAUCUUCUUGUCUUACUAUUCUGUUAAUAUAUUCUCUGUAUUUCUUGCUUAUAUCUUAUAACCAAUUAGUAUCGACACUUAAUACACGUCAUGAUUUCCAUCUUC